CUGCAGCUCAAGUGGUGACCACUAUUAUUGGGCCUAAAACGUUCGUAGCCGGUUUGGUAAAUGCCUGGGUAAAUCGUGUAGCUUAACUAUACGAAUUCCGGGUAGACUGCCAAACUUGAGACCGGGAGAAGCUAGAGGUACUCCUGGGGUAGAGGUGAAAGUCUGUAAUCCUGGGGGGACCACCAGUGGCGAAGGCGUCUAGCUAGAACGGGUCUGACGGUGAGGAACGAAGCCCUGGGGCGCAAACCGGAUUAGAUACCCGAGUAGUCC
rnacentral:rRNA from 1 species